AGGUUGAAGAAGCUCAACCGACUUCAAAUGUUGACAGGACUGACAAUGAUGAUUCAAAGUAUAGGGGUGAUGCUCAACCACCAGAUUUUUAUAAUGAUGGCUCAGAAUAUCUGGUAUGUCGGCUUGUAGUAAAACACUAAUUACAGCUUUGAAUUUCUAACAUUUUCAUGCCGUCUAAAAUAGGGCGACGCGACUUCAGAUCUUGAUAAUGAUGUCCUGGACAAUAGGGUAAGAAGUAGUGCACAUCCCUGUUUUAUUAUGAUCUUGAACUCCAUUUUCUUCUCUUUGAAAAAGGAAACACAUAUAGAUCUUGUCCCGAGUAGUGAUGACGAAAUGGAUAAUUUAACAGGAACUCCUGAUUAUAUACGCACAGAAAGUUUCACACUGAAUAUGGACGCUUUGCGAAGAAAUUGGGAGAUGAAGUCAACAGAAGAUGGAGCUGAAUUAACGGUAAUUUAAAGGCACUUAAAUCUUCUAUUACAAGGGUGAAUGUCCGAAACGUCCAUUGAAGAGCAGAAAACCAACAAGUUGCAAGUU